CUGCUGCUGGAGAGUCCCAAACUAGGACGAAACAGCUGUCCAGUAC
rnacentral:hammerhead_ribozyme from 1 species